rnacentral:rRNA from 1 species
GGUUGUGAUCAUAACAACACUAAUACACCCGAUCCCAUCAGAACUCCGUAGUUAAGCAUGCUUGGGCGAUUGUAGUACUAGGAUGGGUGACCCCCUGGGAAGUCCUCGUGUUGCAACCCCG